AUAUAUAUAUAUUUAUAUAUAUAUAUGAUAUAUAUUAUUAGAAAUUAAGAAAUAAAAAUCAUUGUGAAUCGAUCGACGUUUAAUAUAACACAAAUUAUUCCUUUUCGAGCAUUCAAACAUUUCAUAACUAAAUUAAUUAUAAAAGUUAAUUGAAUAAUUGAAAAAAAAGGAAGAAAAAGGAAAAAAGGAAAUGAUAUCGCAGAAAAAAAUGACGACAAUUUUAUAGAAUUUCUAUAGAAAUAAUAAAACACUAAACGUUGUAUAUGUAAAAGUUUAGGAUGUUCUGCAAUAAAAUUUAAGAGGAUAGGAAUAUAACACCAUAAUAACUUUAAUAAUUAAUUAUAUUAAUUCCGAAAAAUAUAUUUGAACGUCGGUCGGUGUACAGGUCAACGAAGAUGGAUUUGUCUCUUCUAUUUUUCUUUCUGGCUUUAAAUAGAAAUUCAACCUGUACGAGAAUGAGUACGAGAAACAUUUCAAAAAGAAUAGAAAAAAAAAUGUGAAAGAAGAAAUUUCGAGAAAAAAAAGUUCGAUCUUUGUAUCAUGUCAUAUCUAAUUCCCGUUGUUAUCGUCAGCGAGACCAAGUAUUUAAAAAAAUAAAAAACAAAAAAAAAAGGAAAACCGAAACGAAGUACUAACGCGAUUUAAGCGAAGUAUAUAAGUAAUCCAUAAGGAUCCAUCGAAAAUUUGACAAAUGCUGAUUAAUGCUUUCCUCGGAGAAAAUGCGUAGAUUAAAAAAAAGGAAAAGAAAAGAAAAGAAAAAAAAAAAGGAAAAAAAAAAGAAAAAGAAAUAAGAAAAAAAAAAGGACAACAUUUUGAUGCAUACUUCUAACGAUAAGCAUCGUAGUUAGUAUAUUAAAUCGCUUAUAUAAUCGUAGUAUUCCUUAGUUUCCUUCUGACAGAUUUCUUUGGUUGAACAUUUUGUCCGAUAUCGAUAACGUGACAUUAAAAAUAGAUACUCACGUAAAUGCAAUAUAUUCGUCUUAUACUUUUUAAAAUAAAACAAAUCACGAAUCAAAAUUGAUCUCGACGACCGAAUGUUCUUCUUCGAGAAAAAGAAAAGAAAAGAAAAAAAAAAAAAACAAAAUAAGUAAACCUUCUCGACACUUCGCGUAUUUUUCGGACACAUACGUAAAUACAACAUAUUCGUCUUAUACUUUUCAAAGUAAAACGAAUUACGAAUAAGAAUUGAUCUCGACGACCGAAUGUUCUUCCUCGAGAAAAAAUAAAAGAAAAGAAAAAAAAAAAAAAAAUAAAAAAGAAAAAAAAAAACAAAACAAGAAAAUCUUGUCGACACUACGCGGGCGGAUUAGUUUAUAGAAACUUAGAUUAAAUCGACUUCCUCGAAGAGAAAGGAAUAUGUAUGUAAGUACGAAUCGCAUGAUCAUCGCGAAUUGACAUCGUGUUUGUUAUUAUGUAGUUAAGCAAUGUUGUAUCGUUGUAGAAGAAUAUACCAUCCAUUCAAGUGGUUGUUGCAUAAUACAACUUUUUUUCUUUAUUUCGUUCGAAUUAUUAAACCUUACGAAAGUAAGUUGCGUUAAUGUUGUAUAUUUAAAUCGACUUCAAGAAACAAGAAACGUUUGUUGAAAAAUGCCAUACGUCUAUCGUCGACGAUUGAGAUAUUCUGACGAUAUCGUUGACAAAUUUUUUGUAUUUUUUUCUUAUUAUUAUUUAUUUAUUUAUUUAUUUAUUUAUUUUAUUUUAUUUUAUUUUUUUUUUAUAUGAUCGAACUCAGUAUCAAUUGAUUUUGAGAUACUGAAGAUCAUCGAGACGGAUCGAGAAUUAUCAAAGAUGUCUUUUGUAAAUAUUCUUAACUUAUUAUCGAUCGUCAAUCUGAUAUUUUGAUGAUCGAAUGGAUACCUGUUAAAGCCAAAGUUAUCUUCUCGUUUUGCUAAUAAAAUUGUUAAUUCAUAUAAAUAAUAACAACAUUUUAUGCGACGACUUUAGAUUAAAGAAAUAUAAUUUAUGUCGCAUAAGAUGUCAAUUUCUCUGCCUACACGUGUUCGAUCCAUGGAUAAACUUUGCCAUGUUGCUCGUUUGGUCCACCGCCAUUUAUUAUUUUCUUCUAAGAACAACGACAUAUCUGUGAUCCGUAUUAAAAAAAAAAAGAAAAAAAAAAAGAAGAAAAAAGGUAAAGGAACAAAGAAAAGGGGAAAAAUAAAAUAACAAAUGAGAACUACAAGAGGUAGUAUAUAUUAUAUCAUGAAAGGUAUCUAAUGUUAAUAUAUUUACAUAUAAUGAUAUAUCAAAAAUAUAGACAUUCGAUUUCAUUCAGAAAAUGAUAUCUUUGGGGAUCUUAGAUUCGCCUAAAACUUUUACUCGAAUAUCGAAUAUUUUCACUAAUAACAAAUUCUAUUAAUGUCAAACGACUAAUUACUAUUAAACUUUAUUAGUAUUGCUAAAACGUACAUAUGUACAUAAAUAUAACCGUUUUAUCGACGGUUUACGAUCUUUAUUGUCAGUUCCAGUUGAUAUCGUUCCAAUGUAUCUCUACGAUCUUUACUAUCGAAUUAAUAAUCAAUUGUGUAUUACUAGUUAUGUCUAUAUGUCCUUUUAACAGAUCUUAUUCUUGGCGGCUGGAUUGUGUAAAAAAAAAUGUUAUCGAUUGUGCACUAUGUUAUAAAAGGACAAUAAAAGAUAUUAAAACGA